GCGCGGGUGGCGAAACUGGCAGACGCACUACCUUGAGGUGGUAGCGGGAGCAAUCCCAUGGAGGUUCAAAUCCUCUCUCGCGCA
rfam:Parcubacteria (Yanofskybacteria) bacterium GW2011_GWA1_39_13 TT29_C0001, whole genome shotgun sequence.